rnacentral:rRNA from 1 species
AACGAACGCUGGCGGCAUGCCUAACACAUGCAAGUCGAACGGAUGCAGCAAUGCAUCAGUGGCAGACGGGUGAGUAACACGUGGGAAUCUACCCAGUAGCCUGGAAUAACCGCGGGAAACUGCGGCUAAUACCGGAUACGCCCCUCGGGGGAAAGGAGCAAUCCACUAUUGGAGGAGCCCGCGUCCGAUUAGCUAGUUGGUGAGGUAACGGCUCACCAAGGCGAUGAUCGGUAGCUGGUUUGAGAGAACGACCAGCCACACUGGGACUGAGACACGGCCCAGACUCCUACGGGAGGCAGCAGUGGGGAAUAUUGGACAAUGGGGGAAACCCUGAUCCAGCAAUGCCGCGUGGGUGAUGAAGGCCUUCGGGUUGUAAAGCCCUUUUGGCGGGGACGAUGAUGACGGUACCCGCAGAAGAAGCCCCGGCUAACUUCGUGCCAGCAGCCGCAGUAA